AAGUCGUAACAAGGUUUCCGUAGGUGAACCUGCGGAAGGAUCAUUAAAAAAUCUUAAUAAUGAGCCGCAAGGCUCUGAUAUUUUGUGAACUGUGUGUGGUGAAGUGUGCGAGUGAGGGCGAGGUGAUUGGUGUUGUGUUACCGGUGCUUGUUAUGGCAUUGGCGGCGUAUAUCAUCAUAUUAUCUAUCCGUCUAUCACAUCAUACAACAACACUACAAACCUUGAUAAUACAUAUGAUUUUGAUGUUGAGGAAGUAUUAUAUCAAUUAUAAUAUCUAUACAACUUUCAACAGUGGAUCUCUCGGCUCUU
rnacentral:misc_RNA from 1 species